rnacentral:rRNA from 1 species
UUUUAGUGGCGGACGGGUGAGUAACGCGUGGGUAACCUGCCUCACACUGGGGGAUAACACUUAGAAAUAGGUGCUAAUACCGCAUAAGCGCACGGGACUGCAUGGUCUUGUGUGAAAACCUCCGGUGGUGUGAGAUGGACCCGCGUCUGAUUAGCUGGUUGGCGGGGUAACGGCCCACCAAGGCGACGAUCAGUAGCCGGCCUGAGAGGGUGGACGGCCACAUUGGGACUGAGACACGGCCCAAACUCCUACGGAAGGCAGCAG